rnacentral:rRNA from 1 species
AAUUCGAUACAACGCGCAAAACCUUACCAGCCCUUGACAUAUGAACAACAAAACCUGUCCUUAACGGGAUGGUACUGACUUUCAUACAGGUGCUGCAUGGCUGUCGUCAGCUCGUGUCGUGAGAUGUUUGGUCAAGUCCUAUAACGAGCGAAACCCUCGUUUUGUGUUGCUGAGACAUGCGCCUAAGGAGAAAUAGCCGAGGAGCCGAGUGACGUGCCAGCGCUACUACUUGAUUGAGUGCCAGCACGUAGCUGUGCUUUCAGCAAGAAUUUCACCAUUGGGAGCCGGUGCCUUUCGAAGCACUUUCACGUGUGAACCGAAGUCGUCUUGCCGAACUCAAGACCCACGGAGACCUACCUAUAGUGACGUCAAAGUACCAGUGAGCAUGGAGGUUUGGUUAGGCUUGGUUACGACGACGUCGAGUUGGCGGCGGAGGAAGACUCGGCAUGAAGGCCAGUCGCCCGGUGGUGUGGUACGUAGUGGUAAUAGUACGCGCCCCGCUCCGAAACAAAGAAAAAGGUGCGUGCCGCACUCACGAGGGACUGCCAGUGAGAUACUGGAGGAAGGUGGGGAUGACGUCAAGUCCGCAUGGCCCUUAUGGGCUGGGCCACACACGUGCUACAAUGGCAAUGACAAUGGGAAGCAAGGCUGUAAGGCGGAGCGAAUCCGGAAAGAUUGCCUCAGUUCGGAUUGUUCUCUGCAACUCGGGAACAUGAAGUUGAAAUCGCUAGUAAUCGCGGAUCAGCAUGCCGCGGUGAAUAUGUACCCGGGCCCUGUACACACCGCCCGUCACACCCUGGGAAUUGGUUUCGCCCGAAGCAUCGGACCAAUGAUCACCCAUGACUUCUGUGUACCACUAGUGCCACAAAGGCCUUUGGUGGUCUUAUUGGCGCAUACCACGGUGGGGUCUUCGACU